GAUGGAGGGGGAUAACUACUGGAAACGGUAGCUAAUACCGCAUAACGUCGCAAGACCAAAGAGGGGGACCUUAGGGCCUCUUGCCAUCGGAUGUGCCCAGAUGGGAUUAGCUAGUAGGUGGGGUAACGGCUCACCUAGGCGACGAUCCCUAGCUGGUCUGAGAGGAUGACCAGCCACACUGGAACUGAGACACGGUCCAGACUCCUACGGGAGGCAGCAGUGGGGAAUAUUGCACAAUGGGCGCAAGCCUGAUGCAGCCAUGCCGCGUGUAUGAAGAAGGCCUUCGGGUUGUAAAGUACUUUCAGCGGGGAGGAAGGGAGUAAAGUUAAUACCUUUGCUCAUUGACGUUACCCGCAGAAGAAGCACCGGCUAACUCCGUGCCAGCAGCCGCGGUAAUACGGAGGGUGCAAGCGUUAAUCGGAAUUACUGGGCGUAAAGCGCACGCAGGCGGUUUGUUAAGUCAGAUGUGAAAUCCCCGGGCUCAACCUGGGAACUGCAUCUGAUACUGGCAAGCUUGAGUCUCGUAGAGGGGGGUAGAAUUCCAGGUGUAGCGGUGAAAUGCGUAGAGAUCUGGAGGAAUACCGGUGGCGAAGGCGGCCCCCUGGACGAAGACUGACGCUCAGGUGCGAAAGCGUGGGGAGCAAACAGGAUUAGAUACCCUGGUAGUCCACGCCGUAAACGAUGUCGACUUGGAGGUUGUGCCCUUGAGGCGUGGCUUCCGGAGCUAACGCGUUAAGUCGACCGCCUGGGGAGUACGGCCGCAAGGUUAAAACUCAAAUGAAUUGACGGGGGCCCGCACAAGCGGUGGAGCAUGUGGUUUAAUUCGAUGCAACGCGAAGAACCUUACCUGGUCUUGACAUCCACGGAAGUUUUCAGAGAUGAGAAUGUGCCUUCGGGAACCGUGAGACAGGUGCUGCAUGGCUGUCGUCAGCUCGUGUUGUGAAAUGUUGGGUUAAGUCCCGCAACGAGCGCAACCCUUAUCCUUUGUUGCCAGCGGUCCGGCCGGGAACUCAAAGGAGACUGCCAGUGAUAAACUGGAGGAAGGUGGGGAUGACGUCAAGUCAUCAUGGCCCUUACGACCAGGGCUACACACGUGCUACAAUGGCGCAUACAAAGAGAAGCGACCUCGCGAGAGCAAGCGGACCUCAUAAAGUGCGUCGUAGUCCGGAUUGGAGUCUGCAACUCGACUCCAUGAAGUCGGAAUCGCUAGUAAUCGUGGAUCAGAAUGCCACGGUGAAUACGUUCCCGGGCCUUGUACACACCGCCCGUCACACCAUGGGAGUGGGUUGCAAAAGAAGUAGGUAGCUUAACCUUCGGGAGGGCGCUUACCACUUUGUGAUUCAUGACUGGGGUGAAGUCGUAACAAGGUAACCGUAGGGGAACCUGCGGUUGGAUCACCUCCUUACCUUAAAGAAGC
rnacentral:rRNA from 1 species